rnacentral:rRNA from 1 species
CCUGAACGCUGGCGGCGUGGCUAAGACAUGCAAGUCGCACGGGACCCGCAAGGGUUCAGUGGCGAACGGGUGAGUAAUGAAUCGCUAAUGUGCCCCGACUCUGAGAUAGCUGCCCGAAACGGGACGAGGUAAUAUCAGAUGAUAUAACCGAACCGACAUGGUUUGGUUCUCAAAGGUCCGCCGGUCUGGGAGCAGGCGAUUUCGUAUCAGCUAGUUGGUGAGGUAACGGCNCACCAAGGCGACGACGCGUAGCCGGACUGAGAGGUUGGCCGGCCGACACUGGGACGUGAGACACGGCCCAGACUCCUACGGGAGGGCAGCAGUGGGGAAGUAUUGGACAAUGGGCGCAAGCCUGAUCCAGCAAUGCCGCGUGGAUGAAGAAGGUCUUCGGA